AUGGACUCCUUUCUUCUCCUAUUCACAUUGCUUUAUCUAAAAGAUUUCAGUGACGGUGUUCUGAUCACUCAGUGGCCGAAGUACAUAUCCAGUCCCCCGGAAACUUCAGUUGAAAUGCACUGUUACCAAAAUGAUACAGACUAUGACUACAAAUACUGGUACAGACAAAUAAGAGGUGAAGGACUAGUGCUUAUUGGGAGCUACAAUUUUAACUCUCCCUCUAGUGAGAAGGGUUUUGAGACCGGCUUCACAAUGUCAGGUACAGAGACAAAGAAAUGGACCCUGACGGUUGAUGUUAAGGAGGGGAUCGAUGCUGUGUAUCUGUGUGCUGCUAGUUUACACAGUGAAUAA